ACUCCUACGGGAGGCAGCAGUAGGGAAUCUUCCACAAUGGGCGCAAGCCUGAUGGAGCAACACCGCGUGAGUGAAGAAGGGUUUCGGCUCGUAAAGCUCUGUUGUUAAAGAAGAACACGUAUGAGAGUAACUGUUCAUACGUUGACGGUAUUUAACCAGAAAGUCACGGCUAACUACGUGCCAGCAGCCGCGGUAAUACGUAGGUGGCAAGCGUUAUCCGGAUUUAGUUGGGCGUAAAGAGAGUGCAGGCGGUUUUCUAAGUCUGAUGUGAAAGCCUUCGGCUUAACCGGAGAAGUGCAUCGGAAACUGGAUAACUUGAGUGCAGAAGUAGGGUAAGUGGAACUCCAUGUGUAGCGGUGGAAUGCGUAGAUAUAUGGAAGAACACCGAGUGGCGAAGGCGGCGUACCUGGUCUGCAACGUGACGCUGAGACUCGAAAGCAUGGGUAGCGAACAGGAUUA
rnacentral:rRNA from 1 species